rnacentral:rRNA from 1 species
UACGGAGGGUGCAAACGUUGCUCGGAAUCAUUGGGCGUAAAGCGCACGUAGGCGGUCCCGUAAGUCGGGUGUGAAAUCCCUCGGCUCAACCGAGGAAGUGCAUUCGAAACUACCGGACUUGAGUAUGGAAGAGGGUCGCGGAAUUCCCGGUGUAGAGGUGAAAUUCGUAGAUAUCGGGAGGAACACCAGUGGCGAAGGCGGCGACCUGGGCCAAUACUGACGCUGAGGUGCGAAAGCGUGGGGAGCAAACAGG